UGGAAAAACUUCUGAAGUCUUAGUUGCAGAUGCUACAAAAAGUUGUACUUAUUAGAAACUUGAACUCUGUUUUAUCUGGCUUUAUGUCGGCUAGGUUGAAGCUAUUGUGAUGCCCAAAGAUUACAGGCCAAAAAGUUUACAGAUUUGAUUGAGUUGCCUAAGUAAUUUUGUGAAAGAAGUUACGGAUGAUGAUAAGUUGAGAGGGAUUGUGAGGUGUCGAUUUAGGAAUGGGUGCAGCAAACAGAGAUGGCUUUGUGGAAUCAAGUCGGGUCACCAGAAAGGGUGUGUUUGGAAGUGUUGGCAGGAGAAUAUGGCGGAGAAGAUGACUUGGUUGUUAAGGUCACAACAUCAUUGGCUUGAAGGUUAUUUAGUAAGAAAGGAGGAAGGGAAAGGAUAUAUAUAUUAUAUGCAAGGAUGACACCCGAUAGUUCUAGACGUCCGGGUGAGUUCAUAUGACUCCAAAAGUCCAACUUAUAUGACAUUAAUCAUAUAGGUAAUCAUAUGGUGCAACUUAUUUGAACUUAUAGUUUAUUGUAGAAGUAUAUUAAUAUGUCUGGGAUUGAAUUAACGAUAUGUUCCAUUGUAUUAAGACAUGAAAAAGAGAUAAAACGGAAUGUACGGAUUCCAUAGUGAGGUUACAAUGGGUUCUAUAAUGAGAUUCUUGAAUCUCAUAGAAUGUUCACUGUAGUAUAUAAACAUUAAUUUUGGAUGUUUGAGUAGAACUGAAAUGUGUCUUUUGACCCGUUUGUCGUUAUAAUUGCAUAAAUGUAAUUUAAUUUAUGUGGAUGAUAUUAGGGUCAAUGUAACAAUUUAUAUAUGUCUUAGUUCAUGAAUAAUAACGUGUAUGUAAUGUUGAAGACUGAAGUGGACUGUAUGUUUAAAAAGUUGAACAUGGCUGCUGUGUAUGGGCUGGCACAUGCCUAUGUACAUGUACAACAAGUAGGUACAUAGCCAUAAUAUGCAGUUGUAAUAUAUAUAUUUGUGAUUUUGAUACUCUUUCCUGAUUGCAUUUUGCCUAUGUUGGGUGAUUAAAAGCGUUCGAUAGAAAGAAUAUUUGAACCUACAUGCCUUUGGUGCAACUAUAAUGAGGCGGUGUC
rnacentral:lncRNA from 1 species